rnacentral:rRNA from 1 species
CCUACGGGAGGCAGCAGUAGGGAAUAUUGCUCAAUGGGGGAAACCCUGAAGCAGCAACGCCGCGUGGAGGAUGAAGGUUUUAGGAUUGUAAACUCCUUUUGUUAGAGAAGAUAAUGACGGUAUCUAACGAAUAAGCACCGGCUAACUCCGUGCCAGCAGCCGCGGUAAUACGGAGGGUGCAAGCGUUACUCGGAAUCACUGGGCGUAAAGGGCGCGUAGGCGGGAUAGCAAGUCAGAUGUGAAGUCCUAUGGCUUAACCAUAGAACUGCAUUUGAAACUGUUAUUCUAGAGUAUGGGAGAGGUAGGUGGAAUUCUUGGUGUAGGGGUAAAAUCCGUAGAGAUCAAGAGGAAUACUCAUUGCGAAGGCGACCUGCUAGAACAUAACUGACGCUGAUGCGCGAAAGCGUGGGGAGCAAACAGGAUUAGAUACCCGAGUAGUC